rnacentral:tRNA from 1 species
UAGCUCAGUCGGUAAAUCAUCUGUCUGCAACACAGGAGACCUGGGUUCGAUUCCUAG